GAGGAAUAUUGGUCAAUGGACGGGAGUCUGAACCAGCCAAGUAGCGUGCAGGAUGACGGCCCUAUGGGUUGUAAACUGCUUUUGUAUGGGGAUAAAGUCAAUCACGUGUGAUUGUUUGCAGGUACCAUACGAAUAAGGACCGGCUAAUUCCGUGCCAGCAGCCGCGGUAAUACGGAAGGUCCGGGCGUUAUCCGGAUUUAUUGGGUUUAAAGAGAGCGUAGGCCGGAGAUUAAGUGUGUUGUGAAAUGUAGACGCUCAACGUCUGACUUGCAGCGCAUACUGGUUUCCUUGAGUACGCACAACGUUGGCGGAAUUCGUCGUGUAGCGGUGAAAUGCUUAGAUAUGACGAAGAACUCCGAUUGCGAAGGCAGCUGACGGGAGCGCAACUGACGCUUAAGCUCGAAGGUGCGGGUAUCGAACAGGAUUAGAUACCCUGGUAGUCCGCACAGUAAACGAUGGAUGCCCGCUGUUGGUACCUGGUAUCAGCGGCUAAGCGAAAGCAUUAAGCAUCCCACCUGGGGAGUACGCCGGCAACGGUG
rnacentral:rRNA from 1 species